AUUUUACGACGAAAACAAGUUAGACUCCUCUAAACUUCUUGGCUUGCUCCUACUCACUACAUAGCGACCUGUCAGACCUCAGACUCGCUACAUAGUGACCUGUCAGGCCUCAAAAAGAUCCUCCUUUGCGUUCUCUUUUGAAUCCCGGUCGAAACUCUUUUGGUUUCGUCUCAAUCAGAGUUUCCGUUGAGAUUUUACGACGAAAACAAGUAAGACUCGUCUAAACUCCUUGGCUUGCUCCUACUCGCCCUUACCUCCAUCUUUGCGUUC
rnacentral:lncRNA from 1 species